GCUAGAACACAAUCUACAGCAAGUAUUAGAACCCUUUCGAAUCCACGUUGAAGCAAUCAGUUUUUCAAAUAGUAAAGGCCUGAAAAUUCUCAGUAUGUACUUCAAUAUAAACAGCCUGUUGCCAUGGUUAGGACACCAACAGCAAGAACAGCAACAAUAUGUAGAAGAAGAAGAAGCAGAAGCAGAAGAGGAAGCUAUUUAUGGAGAGGACCAAUCUUUGCAAGACUUCUUGGAUCCGGAUUAUGACUUAAAGCAUUCAGUUUUAUGAUGAUCUUCAUUCAAAAGUGUUUCUUUUGUUUAAUUUUAUUUACAUUUUUUUAUUUCAAUGAAUGUUCCUUCCGUUUACCUUUCAGUAUUAUCAUUUCUUUCCUCCUCCUCCUCCUCUUCCUUCCUUCCUUCCUCUCUUACUUGUUCUCCCAAUAUCCCUUCUUUCCACUUUUCCUCCUCUCCCCCUUCAACUUCCCAUUCUCUCACCUCACUCCUCCCCCUUUCCUUCCCUCCUCCUCCUCCUCAUUCCUCCUUCCCUAUCAUUCUCUCUUCUCCCCCUCCCCUCCAUAAUUACUUAUAUUUCUCUAUAAUUAUGGUUUUUCUCUGGGUUUUCCUUAUUUCCAUUUCACUGCAAUUUUGGUUUUUGAAAUGACUGCUUCAAUUAUGAUUGUGAAAAUGUUACCUCCCCCCCAUAUCAGAUGUUGCUCCCCCCCCUUACAUAUCCCUAUUCUUUGAGUAAAUCCAGUUUCCUUCAGUAACUUUGAAAGUCAAUAAAAGAAAUUCAUAUUUUUA